GAGAAAAAUUCACUAGCUUUUGGACGUACACUUUGGUCACCUGCAUUACUUUAUGAUGUCAAACCUCAUUAAAACCCGAAGGGCGAUGACUUCUACACCUAAUCCGACGACUACACCUAGUCCAACGACUACACCUACUACUGCCAUCACUGCUCCGGCAGAGAUGGACCAUAGGCCAAUUAAUCUGGUUGACCCAGUUGGUCCUCCAGUCCCACAGGCGCAGGCAUCGUCGACUUCUUUGCUGGCGUUGCCUGUUAGCACUCAAUGUAUUCACCAGCGCCCCCACACUACGAACUAGAUGUUGCCAUUGGGAUCCACAACUGAUGCCUCGGGUACACGGCCAAACAAACUACAAUUUGGAGGACAUGGACGAGGACAUGUUCGCGUACCUCAAUCAGCUCUUCUCCGAACACUACAAGCAGUGGAAGAGUGACCUGCACCAAUGUUUCCAGCAAUUUGAUGAUCCGCAGGUCACUCUCGAGGAGGGUUGUCCGAAGGAGUUGAAGGACCGACAAGAUAGUUGGGUUUGGCUUUGUGGUCAUUUUCAAGAGCCAGGC